UAUCUCUGGUUUCUUUUAAGUUAUGCAUAAAUCUUUUACUUUUUACUAGAGCUUUCCGUGGAGAGGAGCUUCAAUGAGUUUGAUGUAUUUUUGUAAGAUUUGCUCUGGCAAAGGU